UGGUAGUCCACGCCGUAAACGAUGAUCACUCGCUGUUUGCGAUAUACAGCAAGCGGCUGAGCGAAAGCAUUAAGUGAUCCACCUGGGGAGUACGAUCGCAAGGUUGAAACUCAAAGGAAUUGACGGGGGCCCGCACAAGCGGAGGAACAUGUGGUUUAAUUCGAUGAUACGCGAGGAACCUUACCUGGGCUUAAAUGUAGGCUGCAUUCGGCUGAAAGGCUGAUUCCCUUCGGGGCUGCUUACAAGGUGCUGCAUGGUUGUCGUCAGCUCGUGCCGUGAGGUGUCGGGUUAAGUCCCAUAACGAGCGCAACCCUUAUCGUUAGUUGCCAGCGGGUUAAGCCGGGGACUCUAGCGAGACUGCCACCGUAAGGUGAGAGGAAGGUGGGGAUGACGUCAAAUCAGCACGGCCCUUAUGUCCAGGGCUACACACGUGUUACAAUGGCCGAUACAAAGGGCAGCUACCGGGCGACCGGAUGCUAAUCUCUAAAGUCGGUCCCAGUUCGGAUUGGAGUCUGCAACCCGACUCCAUGAAGUUGGAUUCGCUAGUAAUCGCGCAUCAGCCAUGGCGCGGUGAAUACGUUCCCGGGCCUUGUACACACCGCCCGUCAAACCAUGGGAGCUGGGGGUGCCUGAAGUCUGCCACCGAGAGGAGCGGCCUAGGGUAAAACCAGUGACUGGGGUUAAGUCGUAACAAGGUAACC
rnacentral:rRNA from 1 species